AUUGAACGCUGGCGGCAUGCCUUACACAUGCAAGUCGAACGGCAGCACGGGAGCAAUCCUGGUGGCGAGUGGCGAACGGGUGAGUAAAGUAUCGGAACGUGCCCAGUCGUGGGGGAUAACGUAGAGAAAGUUACGAUAAUACCGCAUACGCUCUAUGGAUGAAAGCGGGGGAUCGCAAGACCGCGCGCGAUUGGAGCGGUCGAUAUCAGAUUAGGUAGUUGGUGGGGUAAAGGCUCACCAAGCCGACGAUCUGUAGCUGGUCUGAGAGGACGACCAGCCACACUGGGACUGAGACACGGCCCAGACUCCUACGGGAGGCAGCAGUGGGGAAUUUUGGACAAUGGGCGAAAGCCUGAUCCAGCCAUGCCGCGUGCAGGAUGAAGGCCUUCGGGUUGUAAACUGCUUUUGUACGGAACGAAAGGGUUUGGCCUAAUAAGCUGAGCUCAUGACGGUACCGUAAGAAUAAGCACCGGCUAACUAUGUGCCAGCCGCCGCGGUAA
rnacentral:rRNA from 1 species